UUAUACAUGGGCCUCCGUGAUGUGCAAAGAUUGUAAGUACAUCAUGUGCCGGCCAGACAUUUAAUUAGUUGCGUGGGCUCCGGAGGGCAGUCGUCAGGUAACAUCAGCUUUUACAGGAUUCGCAGGGUGCGCCAUCUAGAAAAUAAUAAUCGCAGAGUGCGCGUGGUUCAACUAGUCAUCCCCUACGCCUCGUAGUAUAAGCGGAAGUGAGGUCGCCAUGGAUGGGGAUGGAGUUCUUCUUCGAGGAGAUUGAAUCGGUGUAAUGUUCUGCCAGAUCUUGUGUGCUAGAUUUGUUCCUCGAUUGGACGCUGGGAUUCUCUUAAGAGAGUGUUCCUGAUGGGCAAACAGGAUCCAUGGUGUCCGUGUUUGUCGGAUUUCUUCCGAGACGGGCGAGGGGGAGGAUACGCUCGGGAAAUAGAAGUGGACAAGCAAACGGAAGAAACGAUCCUCACGGAAAAAAUUACAGGCUCAUAGGAUGCUAAUGCGCGCGCGCGCGUCACAGCGAGCGAUUUCCGACCAGGUUUGUAGGCUCCAUUAGGAAACAAUAUCCGCCCGCAUGCAGCUGCACUUUCAAUAUAAACAGGAAGGAGAGAGACAUAACAAGAGAGGAUUAGAGCGAAUAUCUCACCUGCCCCACGCUAAAUCAGGGGGGAGAGAGAUUGAGAGGAGAUCUCGAGCUUGCCCACCUUAAAAUCAGGGGAGAGAGAAAAGAUUAGGACCGCUCGUUGCUACGCUCGCUCGUGAAAGAGCUUUUCCGGUCAUAGCGAAGCUAUUGCGGAUCCAGGCGAGAUCUGCCCAGAAGAUAUUGGAGCUGCGAUGGCUAAAGAAGCCGGAGAUGCAGAGGGAGUGGUGGUGUCCAAAUCAAAAGGAUCUUGCGGAAAGACAAUUUACGAACCUUGAUAAGAAUUGGUAAAGCUGCUGAGGAGAGGAGAGCAACGCCAACCCUAGCAGAGUGCCUUCCCUGGAGGCUUCAGUUCGUGCUUAUGCUGAUAAGUAGACAUGUUGUGUUGUUAAUCCACAAGUUGGUACUAACUUCGAUUCUGUUGAAGAGGCGUACAAAUUUGACAACGUAUACUCCUCGGAGACUGGUUUUGGAUAGCCGGUUGUAUGUCCAUAAAAAGAAAUGCAUGCAACAGAUCGUGUGGGCAUGCACGGUGAGCAGCUGAUGAUUUUUGUGAAUGAGACCAUGCUUGAUUUUGUGUGCCCAUUAGGGAUUAGAAGACGCACGGCACAUGAGUAACUGAUGAUAAAUACGCCUGCACUAAAUACAUGCACUUCGGCAUUUCUUGUUGAAUCCAUGGGUGAUUGAGGUAUCCGGGUGAUUGACACAACAGAUUUUUUAUGUUUUGUAAUUGAGUGAUUCUUUGGGUCAGUCUAAUAAUUAGUUCUCAAUCAAGAUUUUUGUUUUGUUUUGUACAUUUGUUGUUGUUUUAGUCUGUUUUUGGACGAUUCUGUGCUAUUUUGGCCAAAUGUACUACA